AACGAACGCUGGCGGCAGGCUUAACACAUGCAAGUCGAACGCAUCCUUCGGGGUGAGUGGCAGACGGGUGAGUAACGCGUGGGAACGUGCCCUUCAGUUCGGGAUAACCCAGGGAAACUUGGGCUAAUACCGGAUACGUGCGAGAGCAGAAAGAUUUAUCGCUGAAGGAUCGGCCCGCGUCUGAUUAGCUAGUUGGUGGGGUAAUGGCCCACCAAGGCGACGAUCAGUAGCUGGUCUGAGAGGAUGAUCAGCCACAUUGGGACUGAGACACGGCCCAAACUCCGACGGGGGGCAGCAGUGGGGAAUAGUGGACAAUGGGCGCAGGCCUGAUCCAGCCAUGCCGCGUGAGUGAUGAAGGCCUUAGGGUUGUAAAGCUCUUUCGUCCGGGACGAUAAUGACGGUACCGGAAGAAGAAGCCCCGGCUAACUUCGUGCCAGCCGCCGCAGUAACAC
rnacentral:rRNA from 1 species